AGGGAUCGCCAUCGUGUCAGAUCU
rnacentral:siRNA from 1 species